rnacentral:rRNA from 1 species
GAUGAACGCUAGCGGCAGGCUUAACACAUGCAAGUCGAGGGGUAACAUUGUGCUUGCACAGAUGACGACCGGCGCACGGGUGCGUAACGCGUAUAGAACCUACCUUUUACAGAGGGAUAGCCUUUAGAAAUGAAGAUUAAUACCUCAUAGUAUUGAGUAUUCGCAUGAAUAUUUAAUUAAAGAUUUAUCGGUAAAAGAUGGCUAUGCGUCCUAUUAGUUAGUUGGUAAGGUAACGGCUUACCAAGGCAACGAUAGGUAGGGGGUCUGAGAGGAUUAUCCCCCACACUGGUACUGAGACACGGACCAG